UGAGAGUGUAUGUGUGUGUGUGUGUGUGAGAGAGAGAGAAAGAGAGAGAGAGAGUGUGUGUGUGUGUGUGCAGAGUUACUGGAGGAUGGCAAAGGGGAGAACCAUAGAUAGGGAUACAGCUUAGUGGUACCUAGUGUGCUGUUCAAUAAACAAGAAAACAAACAAAUAUAUUUACAGUCUGGUGACAAUCUUGGGGGGGUGCUAUAGUCAAAUAAGUACUAAAUCCAACAACAACAAUAAUAAUAAUAAUAAUAAUAAUGAUAAUAAUAACAAUGAUAAUAAUGAUAAUAAUAUUGGUAGUGGUGGUUGCAGUAUAGUUCAAGUAGUUGUAGUUAGUUCUCCUGCACAGCUUUUUUUCUCUUUGUUUCGCCAUUUUGAGAACUGAGGGUUGAAGAGCUGGCUGUGUCUCAUGUUUAAGCCUGACACGGAGCGCUGCUCAGUUGUGAAAGAGAAUGUCUGUGCACGAGUCAUGGCUUUAGUUGCCUCAAACGUUCACUGUGUGAGCAAAAGCUAAAAGGGAUGAUGUCAAAACACCGUGAGUAACUGUUUGCACAUUAAAUAUGAAUAUAUAUAUAUAUUUUUCACAGUAGUAUUUUGAUCAUGUCUGAAUGCUGAAACACAGAGAUAAGGCUGUUUGAGUGCAAAUAAAGCAACAGAGUGGUAUUUUCCACAUUCCCCUGUGAUUGAAGAGUGCAGAGUUUGUAUUUAUUGCAGUUGGUCAAAGGGGAAGCUCUUGCUCACUCCAACAGUGAGGGAUGAUGAGGGAGAGGAGGAAGAGGAUGAUGAAGGAUUUCUGCUCUAUUGAGAUGAGAAAACAAGAUUCACUUCACAAUGGAGCCAAAGACAACAAACCAAACCCUUAACCUGUCAUGGGACUAUGGACAAGUGCGACCAUACACCUCUCCAAACCAAACCCUUAACCUCUCAUGGGACUAUGGACAAGUGCGACCAUACACCUCUCCAAACAUGGAAGAGCUUUGCUGAUGAAGUCAGCACACUCAGCACUCUUCAGCAAUUGGUUUUGCUUCUGCUAUAGUCAGCACUACUGACAUAUGGAAGUGAAAGCUUCUUACAUAAGGCUGCGACAUGACCUGACCACUAAGAUAGUUGCAACAACAGCAUCUUUUAACGUUCAUUUUUUCAACCCAGCCUGAUCUGACGACGGUUUCUAUUCCGCCUGGAGUUUUCGCGUCACUUGCGUCACCCAGUUCGUUGGUCAGAUGCGUACAGUCAUUUGAACUAUGCCCGUUGAUCACGCCUCUUGUGCAGUAUAGAAAAUGCAACUGUUGUUAUAUAAUGGUCACACUGUGGUACAGUUUAAAUGAUUACCAUAAAGUACAUAAUAGUACAGUAUAGAGUGCAAACAACAUAAAUGUGUAUUGCAUAUGGGAUGAAGAUGUUAUGUGUGUGCAAGGCCAAUAUUUGAGCAAAAGCUGCAAAUGGCUGCCACAUGGCUACUGUGAGAUUCCCUCGUUGUUGCGCUGUGUUUUAGUUGUAAUGUUUGUAUUGAAGAUGGUCAAUAAAGCUUGAUGGCUGGAUCAGGA